rnacentral:rRNA from 1 species
AUUGAACGCUGGCGGCAUGCCUUACACAUGCAAGUCGAACGGCAGCACGGGUGCUUGCACCUGGUGGCGAGUGGCGAACGGGUGAGUAAUACAUCGGAACGUACCUUAUCGUGGGGGAUAACGCAGCGAAAGUUGCGCUAAUACCGCAUACGCCCUGAGGGGGAAAGCGGGGGACCGUAAGGCCUCGCGCGAUUAGAGCGGCCGAUGUCUGAUUAGCUUGUUGGGGAGGUGAAAGCUCACCAAGGCGAUGAUCAGUAGGUGGUCUGAGAGGACGAUCAGCCACACUGGGACUGAGACACGGCCCAGACUCCUACGGGAGGCAGCAGUGGGGAAUUUUGGACAAUGGGGGCAACCCUGAUCCAGCAAUACCGCGUGAGUGAAGAAGGCCUUCGGGUUGUAAAGCUCUUUUGUCAGGGAAGAAACAGCAGCUCUAACACAGUCUGCGAAUGACGGUACCUGAAGAAUAAGCACCGGCUAACUACGUGCCAGCCGCCGCGGUAA